GGACUUAGGAUAAACUAAAACCACAAACCUUCAAAGUUUGAAAUAAGAGUACUGCCUCUUAGUGCCUGAUAAAACCUG
rnacentral:tRNA from 1 species